UAUUUUGUUCAUAAACUGCAUCAUCCUUGGAAUCUUCUACUUCUCACUCAUGAUCAAAAUUUAGGAUAGAGAAUGGUAUACGGUUUAGUCUAUUUUGAAAUAAAAGUUUAGUUUAGAGAAAAAGUGGACGUGCCGGAGUGGUUAUCGGGCAUAACUAGAAAUCAUGUGGGCUUUGCCCGCGCAGGUUCGAAUCCUGCCGUUCACGUUUUUAUUUUGAGUGUUGGUUAG
rnacentral:tRNA from 1 species